GCGCGUGUAGUCCAACUGGCAGAGACAGGCGACUUAAAAAUCGCCUCAGUGCGGGUUCAAAUCCCACCACGGGCA
rnacentral:tRNA from 1 species